rnacentral:rRNA from 1 species
GAUGAACGCUAGCUACAGGCUUAACACAUGCAAGUCGAGGGGAAACGGCAUCGAAAGCUUGCUUUUGAUGGGCGUCGACCGGCGCACGGGUGAGUAACGCGUAUCCAACCUGCCCAUCACUUGGGAAUAACCUUGCGAAAGUAAGACUAAUGCCCAAUGACAUCCCACGAAGGCAUCCGAAUGGGAUUAAAGAUUUAUCGGUGAUGGAUGGGGAUGCGUCUGAUUAGCUUGUUGGCGGGGUGACGGCCCACCAAGGCAACGAUCAGUAGGGGUUCUGAGAGGAAGGUCCCCCACAGUGGAACUGAGACACGGUCCAAACUCCUACGGGAGGCAGCAGUGAGGAAUAUUGGUCAAUGGGCGAGAGCCUGAACCGGCCAAGUAGCGUGCAGGAUGACGGCCCUAUGGGUUGUAAACUGCUUUUAUAAGGGAAUAAAGUGGGUCACGUGUGACUUUUUGCAUGUACCUUAUGAAUAAGGACCGGCUAAUUCCGUG